rnacentral:rRNA from 1 species
AUUCCAGCUCCAAUAGCGUAUAUUAAAGUUGUUGCAGUUAAAAAGCUCGUAGUUGAAGUUUGGUCUCGGACGCUGGGUCUGCUUAAUUGCAUGUACCUGACGGUCCGAGACUUCCUUCUUGGUGAACGGCCGCCUUCGGGUGGUCCGGAACCAGGACUAUUACUUUGAAAAAAUUAGAGUGUUCAAAGCAGGCCAUAGGCCCGAAUAUAUUAGCAUGGAAUAACAGAAUAGGACGUGCGGUUCUAUUUUGUUGGUUUCUAGAACUGCCGUAAUGAUUAAAAGGGACAGCCGGGGGCAUUAGUAUUUGCACGCUAGAGGUGAAAUUCUUGGAUUGUGCAAAGACUUCCUACUGCGAAAGCAUUUGCCAAGAAUGUUUUCAUCA